GACGAACGCUGGCGGCGUGCUUAAUACAUGCAAGUAGAACGGAAAGGGCCUGGUUUGGUGGGGUGCACGAGUGGCGAACGGGUGAGUAACGCGUGGGUAACCUGCCUGGGAGUUUGGGAUAACUUCUGGAAACUGGGGCUAAUACCGGAUAAGAGCAGCUGUUGCAUGGCGGGGGUUGGAAAGUUUCGGUGGCUUGGGUCGGAGACGCGGCUUAGCAGUAUUUUGGAGAGGUAGUGGCUUAGCAAGGCUUUGACGGGUAGCCGGACUGAGAGGGUGACCGGCCACAUUGUGACUGGGAAACCGCCCGGACUCCUUCUGGAGGCAUCAGUGGAGAAUUUUGCACAAUGGGCGGAAUCCGGAUGCAGCAUCUCCGCGUGCUGGAGCACGGCCUUCGGAUUGUAAACCGCUUUCGCCUGUGACGAAGCCUGAGUGACGGUAAUGUGUAAAGAAGCACCGGCUAACUACGUG
rnacentral:rRNA from 1 species